UCCGUAGGCGGGCGUCUAAGUCAGUGGUGAAAUCCUACAGCUCAACUGUAAAAUUGCCAUUGAUACUGGAUGUCUUGAAUUAGUGUGAAGUGGUUAGAAUGUGUAGUGUAGCGGUGAAAUGCAUAGAUAUUACACAGAAUACCAAUUGCGAAGGCAGAUCACUAACACUAUAUUGACGCUGAGGGACGAAAGCGUGGGGAGCGAACAGGAUUAGAUACCCUGGUAGUC
rnacentral:rRNA from 1 species